rnacentral:rRNA from 1 species
CAGUCGCCGCGGGAAUACGAAGGGUGCAAGCGUUAAUCGGAAUUACUGGGCGUAAAGCGUGCGUAGGCGGUGAGUUAAGUCUGCUGUGAAAUCCCCGGGCUCAACCUGGGAAUGGCAGUGGAUACUGGCUCGCUAGAGUGUGUCAGAGGAUGGUGGAAUUCCCGGUGUAGCGGUGAAAUGCGUAGAGAUCUGGAGGAAUACCGAUGGCGAAGGCAGCCAUCUGGCCUAAUACUGACGCUGAGGUACGAAAGCAUGGGGAGCAAACAGGAUUAGAUACCCCCGUAGUCCCUGUCUCUUAUAC